CCUACGGGAGGCAGCAGUGGGGAAUAUUGGACAAUGGGCGAAAGCCUGAUCCAGCCAUGCCGCGUGUGUGAAGAAGGCCUUCGGGUUGUAAAGCACUUUCAGUGGGGAAGAAAGCCUUGGGGCUAAUACCCUCGAGGAAGGACAUCACCCACAGAAGAAGCACCGGCUAACUCCGUGCCAGCAGCCGCGGUAAUACGGAGGGUGCGAGCGUUAAUCGGAAUUACUGGGCGUAAAGCGCGCGUAGGCGGUCUGAUAAGCCGGUUGUGAAAGCCCCGGGCUCAACCUGGGAACGGCAUCCGGAACUGUCAGUCUAGAGUGCAUGAGAGGAAGGUAGAAUUCCCGGUGUAGCGGUGAAAUGCGUAGAGAUCGGGAGGAAUACCAGUGGCGAAGGCGGCCUUCUGGACUGACACUGACGCUGAGGUGCGAAAGCGUGGGUAGCAAACAGGAUUAGAUACCCUAGUAGUC
rnacentral:rRNA from 1 species